AAAUUGAAGAGUUUGAUCAUGGCUCAGAUUGAACGCUGGCGGCAGGCCUAACACAUGCAAGUCGAGCGGCAGCGACAACAUUGAAUCUUCGGAGGAUUUGUUGGGCGGCGAGCGGCGGACGGGUGAGUAAUGCCUAGGAAAUUGCCCUGAUGUGGGGGAUAACCAUUGGAAACGAUGGCUAAUACCGCAUGAUGCCUACGGGCCAAAGAGGGGGACCUUCGGGCCUCUCGCGUCAGGAUAUGCCUAGGUGGGAUUAGCUAGUUGGUGAGGUAAGGGCUCACCAAGGCGACGAUCCCUAGCUGGUCUGAGAGGAUGAUCAGCCACACUGGAACUGAGACACGGUCCAGACUCCUACGGGAGGCAGCAGUGGGGAAUAUUGCACAAUGGGCGCAAGCCUGAUGCAGCCAUGCCGCGUGUGUGAAGCGCUGGGUUGUAAAGCACUUUCAGUAGGGAGGAAGGUUCAUGCGUUAAUAGCGUAUGGAUUUGACGUUACCUACAGAAGAAGCACCGGCUAACUCCGUGCCAGCAGCCGCGGUAAUACGGAGGGUGCGAGCGUUAAUCGGAAUUACUGGGCGUAAAGCGCAUGCAGGUGGUUUGUUAAGUCAGAUGUGAAAGCCCGGGGCUCAACCUCGGAAUUGCAUUUGAAACUGGCAGACUAGAGUACUGUAGAGGGGGGUAGAAUUUCAGGUGUAGCGGUGAAAUGCGUAGAGAUCUGAAGGAAUACCGGUGGCGAAGGCGGCCCCCUGGACAGAUACUGACACUCAGAUGCGAAAGCGUGGGGAGCAAACAGGAUUAGAUACCCUGGUAGUCCACGCCGUAAACGAUGUCUACUUGGAGGUUGUGGCCUUGAGCCGUGGCUUUCGGAGCUAACGCGUUAAGUAGACCGCCUGGGGAGUACGGUCGCAAGAUUAAAACUCAAAUGAAUUGACGGGGGCCCGCACAAGCGGUGGAGCAUGUGGUUUAAUUCGAUGCAACGCGAAGAACCUUACCUACUCUUGACAUCCAGAGAAGCCAGUAGAGAUACAGGUGUGCCUGGGAACUCUGAGACAGGUGCUGCAUGGCUGUCGUCAGCUCGUGUUGUGAAAUGUUGGGUUAAGUCCCGCAACGAGCGCAACCCUUAUCCUUGUUUGCCAGCGAGUAAUGUCGGGAACUCCAGGGAGACUGCCGGUGAUAAACCGGAGGAAGGUGGGGACGACGUCAAGUCAUCAUGGCCCUUACGAGUAGGGCUACACACGUGCUACAAUGGCGCAUACAGAGGGCGGCCAACUUGCGAAAGUGAGCGAAUCCCAAAAGUGCGUCGUAGUCCGGAUUGAGUCUGCAACUCGACUCCAUGAAGUCGGAAUCGCUAGUAAUCGUGGAUCAGAAUGCCACGGUGAAUACGUUCCGGCCUUGUACACACCGCCCGUCACACCAUGGGAGUGGGCUGCAAAAGAAGUAGGUAGUUUAACCUUUCGGGGAGGACGCUUACCACUUUGUGGUUCAUGACUGGGGUGAAGUCGUAACAAGGUAGCGCUAGGGGAACCUGGCGCUGGAUCACCUCCUUAUACGAA
rnacentral:rRNA from 1 species